ACUGAAUUACAUCACCACAAUCUAAUUUUAGAACAUUUUCAAUGCCCCCCAAAGAAACUCUCUGCAGGCCUGGGCAACAUAGUGAGACCCUGCCUCUAGAAAAAUUUUUUUGAUUAGCUGGGUGUGGUGGCACUCACCUGGGAGGCUGAGGUGGGAGGAUCCCAGGAGUUAGAGGCUGCAGUGAGCCAUGAUCAUGCCACUACACUUCAGCCUGGGCAACAGAGCAAGACCCUGUCUCUAUUGAAAAAAGUGGUGGGAAGUGGGGGAGAAACCCUGUGCUACAGCAGUCUUCCUGAUUCCUGCUUACCCAUCUCCUACUCCAUCCCCAGACAAUCUCUCUAUGGAUUGGCCUAUUCUGACAUUUCACAUCAGUCAUCUGUUGCUUAAUGACAGACACACAUUUGGAGAAAUGUGUCAUUAGGCAAUUUUCUUCAUGUGUACACAUCAAAGAGUGUCCUUACACAAACCUAAAUGGGACAACCUACUGCAGACCUAGGCUGUAUGACAGAACCUAUUGCUCCUCGGCUACAAACCUGUACAGCAUGCAACUCUACUCAACACUGUAAGAAACUGUAACACAGUGGUGAUUGUCUUAAUGUGGGUUUCCCCAGAAGUGGCCCUGAGGAAGGACUUGAGUGCAAGUAGCUUCCUGAGAAGUGGCGAGUGGAAAAAUGCAGCAGGGAAGUGGAGAAGAGAGAAGCGGAAGGGAAGACAGUUGCUAAAGCUGCAUUAUCACAAAAGCCACCCCUGUGGAAAACUGGAGCUCGGUUCCACUGGGGAACUCAUGGAGCCAG
rnacentral:lncRNA from 10 species